rnacentral:pre_miRNA from 2 species
AACAUUCAACGCUGUCGGUGAGUUUUGCGCUUCUGUAACAAACCAUCGACCGUUGACUGUACC